rnacentral:rRNA from 8 species
AGAGUUUGAUCCUGGCUCAGAUUGAACGCUGGUGGCAUGCUUAACACAUGCAAGUCGAACGGUAACAGGUCUUCGGAUGCUGACGAGUGGCGGACGGGUGAGUAACGCGUAGGAAUCUGCCCAUCUGUGGGGGAUACCAGUUGGAAACGACUGUUAAUACCGCAUAAUAUCUGCGGAUUAAAGGUGGCCUUUGCGCUGCCGCAGAUGGAUGAGCCUGCGUUGGAUUAGCUAGUUGGUGGGGUAAGGGCCUACCAAGGCUACGAUCCAUAGCUGAUUUGAGAGGAUGAUCAGCCACAUUGGGACUGAGACACGGCCCAAACUCCUACGGGAGGCAGCAGUGGGGAAUAUUGGACAAUGGGGGAAACCCUGAUCCAGCAAUGCCAUGUGUGUGAAGAAGGCUCUAGGGUUGUAAAGCACUUUAGUUGGGGAGGAAAGCCUGUGAGUUAAUAGCUUGCAGGAAGGACGUUGCCCAAAGAAUAAGGACCGGCUAACUCCGUGCCAGCAGCCGCGGUAAUACGGGGGGUCCGAGCGUUAAUCGGAAUUACUGGGCGUAAAGGGUCUGUAGGUGGUUUGUUAAGUCAGAUGUGAAAGCCCAGGGCUCAACCUUGGAACUGCAUUUGAUACUGACAAACUAGAGUAUGGUAGAGGAAUAGGGAACUUCUGGUGUAGCGGUGAAAUGCGUAGAGAUCAGAAGGAACACCAAUGGCGAAGGCAACAUUCUGGACCAAUACUGACACUGAGGGACGAAAGCGUGGGGAUCAAACAGGAUUAGAUACCCUGGUAGUCCACGCUGUAAACGAUGAGUACUAGCUGUUGGAUUCGGUGUAAAGGAUCUAGUGGCGCAGCUAACGCGUUAAGUACUCCGCCUGGGGACUACGGCCGCAAGGCUAAAACUCAAAGGAAUUGACGGGGACCCGCACAAGCGGUGGAGCAUGUGGUUUAAUUCGAUGCAACGCGAAGAACCUUACCUGGUCUUGACAUCCUGCGAACUUUCUAGAGAUAGAUUGGUGCCUUCGGGAACGCAGUGACAGGUGCUGCACGGCUGUCGUCAGCUCGUGUUGUGAAAUGUUGGGUUAAGUCCCGCAACGAGCGCAACCCCUAUUGAUAGUUACCAUCAUUAAGUUGGGUACUCUAUUGAGACUGCCGCUGACAAGGCGGAGGAAGGUGGGGACGACGUCAAGUCAUCAUGGCCCUUACGACCAGGGCUACACACGUGCUACAAUGGGUAUUACAGAGGGCUGCGAAGGUGCGAGCUGGAGCGAAACUCAGAAAGGUACUCUUAGUCCGGAUUGCAGUCUGCAACUCGACUGCAUGAAGUCGGAAUCGCUAGUAAUCGCAGGUCAGAAUACUGCGGUGAAUACGUUCCCGGGUCUUGUACACACCGCCCGUCACACCAUGGGAGUGGGUUGCUCCAGAAGUAGAUAGCUUAACGAAUGGGCGUUUACCACGGAGUGAUUCAUAACUGGGGUGAAGUCGUAACAAGGUAGCCGUAGGGGAACCUGCGGCUGGAUCACCU